rnacentral:tRNA from 1 species
GGGCCCGUAGCUCAGUUCGGUCAGAGCGACCGGCUCAUAACCGGUCGGUCGGGCGUUCAAAUCGCCCCGGGCCCA